ensembl:lincRNA
CACACUUAAAGAACAACAAUAACAUCAGUGUCAUCGGUUGUUUUUCCGGAUCCUCUCAUUAACCACAGUUAAUGCGAUAUUCAAGAUGGAUACUGAACUGGUUUGUGUGGAUGGAUAGAUUACUACUGUCAGCCUAUUAAUAUUUAUUCUUUCUUGUUGAAUUAUUCUGCAUGUCGUAUUAUUAUGUUUGCUGUAUUAAGCCACUGACUUAAUAAGCUAUGCAUCUGUGUCGUUACAGGUUAUCCUGUUCUUGCUGAAUAAAGCCUACGCUGAAUGAUCUCCAAUGAGUCAAGCCUUUUCAGUACACCCUUCAGCUUAUCACCCAGGCCAAGCCUUUCCCUCCAGCCGCCCAGAAAUCGCCGCCAUCUUCUCUGCUUCGCAUAGCUCUGAGGGUUCACAGCUGCCUCCGAUGUACUGAACAACGCAUCUUCUACCUUUAAAUAAAGUUUCAGAGAAGAAGUUGCAAGUCUUUGUAUGGAGGGACGGACUGACGGAUGGACAACGUGCUAUCCCACGAGCUCCCCAGAACUAUGUUUCAGCAACGGUGCAACAUGGAAGUUGAUUUUUAUGGUGAGAUUGCAACCUUCUUGCAGAGUGACCCAAACAAAAGACAAUGGCCUAAAAGAGUACUGGUGGCAUUGACUCUGCCUGUCAUCCUUCUGAGGUCGCCAGCUUGCUGGGAUGAUUGAGCGAUCUGAGUAUCCCGUGUCAGAGUGGUGACCUGUUCAGGAUUGUGCACAAUAGCCCAGCAGACUACUUUGGCAGCACUGAUGCUCUGUCUGGUCAGAGUAUGGUCACAAUGGAUGGAUUUAGUCAUUGCAUUGAUGUUACUUCAGCAAAUUGAAUGGUUUUGGUCUCCAUGUAAAUAUGAUUGGUUGGAUGUAGGAAAAACAUCUCAAAGGUUGAUAUGAUGUAAUGUUAGCACAUGUGACGUCUCAAAUGAUUGAAAUGAGAAAUUUUGGAAUGCAGGCUUAUAUAUGAAUUUUUAUUCCCCAGUAUUUUACUUUGUUUGAUUUCCUGGUCUAUUGAUGGAAAGCCCACCGACG